rnacentral:rRNA from 1 species
CACGUAGGGUGCGAGCGUUGUCCGGAAUUAUUGGGCGUAAAGAGCGCGCAGGCGGUCGUUCAAGUCGCGUGUGAAAGCCCCCGGCUCAACUGGGGAGGGUCACGCGAUACUGAUCGACUCGAAGGCAGGAGAGGGAAGUGGAAUUCCCGGUGUAGUGGUGAAAUGCGUAGAUAUCGGGGAGGAACACCAGUGGCGAAGGCGACUUCCUGGCCUGUUCUUGACGCUGAGGCGCGAAAGCUAGGGGAGCAAACGGG